rnacentral:rRNA from 1 species
UACGUAGGGGGCGAGCGUUGUCCGGAUUUAUUGGGCGUAAAGAGCUCGUAGGCGGCUUGGCAAGUCGGGUGUGAAAACUCUAGCUCAACCUGGAGACGCCACUCGAUACUGCCAUGGCUAGAGUCCGGUAGGGGACCACGGAAUUUCUGGUGUAGCGGUGAAAUGCGCAGAUAUCAGAAGGAACACCGGUGGCGAAGGCGGUGGUCUGGGCCGGAACUGACGCUGAGGAGCGAAAGCGUGGG